rnacentral:rRNA from 1 species
GGUAUAUUAAAGUUGUUGCAGUUAAAAAGCUCGUAGUUGAAUGUCGGUUAGCUCUAGCCCUAUUGCCUUUGGCAGCAGGGUACGAGCUAGCUUUCUGUCGGUACGGCUGUGCGUUUACUCGUGCGGCUGUUCUAUCCGACUCGUUACAUUGAAAAAAAUAGAGUGUUCAAAGCAGGCGCUACGCCGGAAUAUUUCAGCAUGGGAUAACAGAAGAAGAUGACUGUCUUAUUUUGUUGGUUUCUAGGACCAGUCUUCAUGGUUAAUAGGAACGGUCGGGGGUAUUAGUAUUUAGUAGUCAGAGGUGAAAUUCUUGGAUUUACUAAAGACUAACAACUGCGAAGGCAUUUACCAAGGACGUUUCCAUUAAUCAAGAGCGAAAGUUGGGGGAUCGAAGACGAUCAGAUACCGUCGUAGUCUCAACCGUAAACGAUGCCGACUCAGGAUCGGUGGGCUUUAAUUUGUGGCUCAUCGGCACUGUACGAGAAAUCAAAGUUUUUGGGCUCUGGGGGAAGUAUUUGCGCAAGCAAGGAACUUAAAGGAAUUGACGGUAGGGCACCACCAGGAGUGGAACCUGCGACUUAAUUUGACUCAACACGGGGAAACUUACCAGGUCCAGACGCGGUUAGGAUUGACAGAUUGAUAGCUCUUUCAUGAUUUCGCGGGUGGUGGUGCAUGGCCGUUCUUAGUUCGUGGAUUCAUCUGGCAACUUGAUUGUGGUAACGAACGAGACCUCUGUGGGUAGUUGCUUUUGCUUAUUAUGAUAAGUAAACGGAUCUACUCAGACUGCUGGUGCGAGCCAGAGGAAGUUGGAGGCGAUAACAGGUCUGUGAUGCCCUUAGACGUUCUGGGCUGUACGCGCGUUACACUGACGGAGCCAACGAGUUUUGGCCUUUGCCGAGAGGUACGGGUAACCUUGUUAAACUCCGUCGUGCUGGGGACUGAGCAUUGCAAUUAUUGCUCACGAACGAGGAAUUCCUAGUAAGCGCAAGUCAUCAGCUUGCGUUGAUUACGUCCCUGCCCUUUGUACACACCGCCCGUCGCUAGUACCGAUUGAAUGAUUUAGUGAGGUCUCGGGAGAGUCUAAGACUUGGGCAACCGAUUCUUUGAUUCAAACUUGAUCAAACUUGAUUAUUUAGAGGAACUAAAAA